UAAGUGGCCGAGAUCUUGAUUCUUAAUUAGUCAGAAUAUAAGAAUUCAUCUCACUGUGAUCCUGUUCAAUACACGAAGGUACUAGCAUAAAUAAAUAGCCAAGACAAACUAUUUAUCCAUUUAUGCUACAAUCUAAACCAGCAACUCGUCCAUAGUUGCCUCGAUUGUGAACUCAAUUUAUAUCUCAACUUUUUCCAAUUAUAUGAUCUUUUGUGAUCUACAACACACCAUAUAAUCUAUAGUAUGAGAUAAAUUGGACUAUAAUAGGAUUAUGCAAUAACAAUAUUUCAGAUAGAAGAAUCACAGUGAACUAAGGAAUCAAUGUAUACAAGCAUAAAGUCUUGCUUUCAGUAUACAACCCUUCAUUUACGAUAUGAGAGCGAGUGAGACGGAGUGUAGAAAUGAGAAGUAAUGUAAUAUUACUAAGAUAGAAUGAUAUUCUUAGUAAGGAAGUUUCUGACUGAUUCCUUUUGUUUUACCCCAUGAACUAUAUUCGAUGUUAUGAUAUCUGAAGAUGCGAGCAGAGGACGGAAGUGAGUCCACCCCGAACGCUACGAGAGUAAGCUAGGACAUCAGGUGGGCAUUAUUUUUACUAUACGUAUAUAGAGAUCCCCUGCGUAUCGUAGGCCUCUUAUACGAAAUGAAAUAAAUGAUGUGAUUUAACUGUCAAUUUCAGUUUGAUGAAAAUUAUUACUGUUGAUGAUGUUUAUGAGUCUGAUAAAUAUUUUGAGAUUUAUUGAUGUUGAACUAAUUGACUUGCCAAGUUUUGAUGACGACGAGCCUGUAUGUCACCCUCUACUGAUGAGACGAAUUCGGGUCCUGCCACAAGCGGGAUUGUGUACACAGAGGUGACCGUGAGCUGUCCUUCGGGUCGGCUGGUCACGGUACUUGAGAAUGAGGCCUACUUCUCAGCACCUUAAAUGAUGAUGAUUUGUAGAUGUGGAUAAGCGAGGAGGGAGAUUGGACUGGUGCUGGCAGGGAUUUUGUUUUGGAUGAUCGUCAUUGUACCAUAAUUAUAUUCCUUGCAGUAACAUCAAGAUGUUGAGGUUUAUUUUGAACUUAAUCAAGAAAUUUACUCCUGGCUAUAUGUCUUCAUACAUAUAGUCUGUUCGCAUUUUGCUGCGAUACUCUGUAUAUCCCAAGUCAUUGUGAGUAAUUAGCUAUGUCUACUUUGUAAAGGUUGACAAGAAUAUCGAUGAUUUAAAAGUUAUAAAGCCAAUAAUAUUUUUAUU